rnacentral:rRNA from 1 species
UGCCAGCAGCCGCGGUAAUACGGAGGGUGCGAGCGUUAAUCGGAAUUACUGGGCGUAAAGGGCGCGUAGGUGGCUCGAUAAGUCGGGUGUGAAAUACCUGGGCUCAACCCGGGAAUUGCAUUCGAUACUGUCAGGCUUGAGUGUGGUAGAGGGAAGUGGAAUUCCGGGUGUAGCGGUGAAAUGCGUAGAUAUCCGGAGGAACAUCAGUGGCGAAGGCGGCUUCCUGGAAUACUACUGACACUGAGGUGCGAAAGCGUGGGGAGCAAACAGGAUUAGAUA